GGCUUAUAGAUGAGACAUUGAUGAUACCAAUGUGUGUUUGUUAAAUACUUGUCAAUUUGUCACGUACAAGACUUAACACGCCCAUGGAAUUGUAAGCGCGUUCAAUUAUUUCUCUCUGAACAUCAAAUCGAAUGUUCCUUGAGAAUAAGCUGCCAUUGACUCAUGCCAAUGUUUAAGGGGAGAAAAGAUACCAUCUAAUCUAGAAGCAGUUGACAAAUUUAUGGCUGUUCUGAGAUUGUAGUGCCCUUACUCGAUUUGGUUUCUAUUAUUGGAAACUGGAGAUGUCUAUACAUCAGGAAAAUUCUGAUAUCAAUGGUGUAUCAGCUGCAGGGCCAGGAUCUUGCCUUUAUGAUCUCUUCUGCUCUGAAACACCAAGUUUGAAUUCUCAAAGUCGAAAGGAGGAAUGGAUAUUUUCUGGACCACAGCAAAGGCUAGACAAUCUGAUGCGUCAAGCUGGGAACAGGUAUUGCGCUGAUUGUGGAUCAUUAGAGCCAAAAUGGGUAUCUUCAAGUCAUGGAGUAUUUAUCUGCAUCAAGUGCUCUGGUAUACAUAGAAGCCUAGGAGUCCAUAUAUCGAAGGUUCUAUCACUGAAGCUAGAUGAAUGGACAGAUGAACAAGUUGAUGCAUUAGUGAAGAUGGGUGGAAAUACAGUGAUCAAUAAGAAGUAUGAAGCUUGCAUGCCAAGUAACAUAAAAAAACCAAAUCCACAUUCCACCAUUGAGGAGCGCUCUGAUUAUAUUAGGAGAAAAUAUGAGCUGCUACAGUUUUUGGAUACCGAGGAGAAUUUGUGCUGUCCCUUUGUACCAACUCAUGGAAGAACUUCAUCCUCGUGCAGCAGUUCCUCCUCACAAUACAAAAAACAAUAUGAUAAACAACAAACUAAAAGUCGUAUUGGUUUAUCAUUUCGAAACAGCUGGGGAAGAAAAGAUUCUGAGAAUAAAAGUACAAAGAAGAGCAACUCGUUGGCAGGUAUGAUUGAAUUUGUUGGAUUGAUAAAGGUUAAUGUGGUCAAAGGCACAAACCUGGCUAUCCGGGAUGUAAUGACUAGUGACCCUUAUGUCAUCCUCUCUCUGGGUCACCAAUCGAUGAAGACACGUGUCAUAAAGAGCAAUUUAAAUCCAGUUUGGAAUGAAAGCCUGAUGCUGUCAAUUCCCGAUAGCGUUCCUCCUCUUAAAGUGCUUGUGUACGACAAGGACACUUUCUCAACUGAUGAUUUCAUGGGUGAGGCUGAAAUAGAUAUUCAACCUCUAGUCGCAGCUGCAAAGGCAUAUGAGAAAUCAUCGAUCAACGAGUCGAUGCAGCUUGGGAAAUGGGUAGCGAGUGGUGACAACAAUCUUGUGAAAGAUGGAAUCAUCACCCUUGAGGAUGGGAAGGUCAGACAGGACAUCUCAGUGAGGCUACAGAGAGUUGAGAGAGGUGUGCUGGAGAUUGAGCUUGAAUGUGUUCCUCUUACUCAGUAGCUGAGAUAGAAGUUCAUAACUUAGCAGAAUACAGUUUGGAGCAUAUAUCAGUGUAGAUUGUCUUGUCUCAGUUUCCCUUUGUAUAUUAUCCUGUGAGACUGUGACCAUCCUUCUGUAGAUGAACAAAUAUGAUUUAUCAAAAAGAAAAGAGCAACGAUACUGAUUAAGAAGCAUCAUGGCACGAGAUACACAUGAAAUGAUCAAUCUGGAGGACCAAAUUGACUGCCGGUCGUACACCAAGAAGAGUGUGUCCCAAUAACAGAGCACGCCGCGAUGACCCUGCCUUAAUGAUAACCCUGCCACCAAGGCAAGCCGAUGAUCAAAGGAGAACCCCAAACAAUAGCAGGUUGGUGGCCGGGUCCUUCGCAGGCGGCAGAGUCUCGGCAAAUACUUGGAAAAAGCACCUUAAGUCACUACUAUUGCAUGUUGCCGACCAUCAUCCGUUGAUAAACUUGCUGUAUCCCCGAAAAAGACGUAGAUGAUCGCAUUCACAUACAACAGAUAUGGCGCUGAAAGUGGUAACAAUGAUGAUCAUGUGGUCAUUGAAGCUUCCAUACAGAAAGGUGAAAAGAGUUUUCAUCGAUUAGGGGAGCUCCGCUGACAUACUAUUUUUUGUGCAUUCAAGUCGUUGCGGUUCUUCGACAAAGAACUCAUCCCUUAUGAUAAUUGUCGUAACCAGGGUCACGACAUGUCGAUGAAAAAAAUCAAUGAAAUAUAACAAUAAAUAAAUAGUAUGGGAUUUACAAAUGAAAACACCAAAAAAUACUU